AACGAACGCUGGCGGCGUGCUUAACACAUGCAAGUCGAACGCGAAAGGGGCUUCGGUCCUGAGUAGAGUGGCGCACGGGUGAGUAACGCGUAGAUAACCUGUCCUGGUGUCUGGAAUAACGUCUCGAAAGGGGCACUAAUACCGGAUAUUCUUGCUUUCUUCAAGGUAUGCAAGGAAAGGUGGCCUCUGGAAAAAGCUACUGCACGAGGAGGGGUCUGCGUACCAUUAGCUAGUAGGGGGGGUAAUGGCCUACCUAGGCGACGAUGGUUAGCGGGUAUGAGAGGAUGAUCCGCCACACUGGCACUGGAAUACGGGCCAGACUCCUACGGGAGGCAGCAGUGAGGAAUAUUGCGCAAUGGGGGCAACCCUGACGCAGCGACGCCGCGUGAGUGAGGAAGGCCUUCGGGUCGUAAAGCUCUGUCAAGAGGGAAGAAGUGCAUGGUGGUUAAUAUCUGUCAUGUUUGACGGUACCUCUAAAGGAAGCACCGGCUAACUCCGUGCCAGCCGCCGCGGUAAGAC
rnacentral:rRNA from 1 species